rnacentral:ncRNA from 2 species
ACUUGUUCUCAGGGCGGGGUGAAAGUCCCCACCGGCGGUGAUCCGGCCUUGGCCGGAAAGCCCGCGAGCGCUCCCCCGCGCGGGGGAGGUCAGCAGACCCGGUGCGACUCCGGGGCCGACGGUAACAGUCCGGAUGAAAGAGAAUGAGA